UCGCAAAAACAAAACAAAAUAACACCGAAAAACAAGCGAAUCAAUAAAUGAAUUGAAAAGGAUAUCUGUAGAUCCAGCUCGCAGUCAAUGCCAUUAACUGUCGGUGAAAUGUAUAUGGAAUACCUGUAAGCUAAUACUGAUCAGUCUACUGUACAUGCACGACCGCCAGGGUCCUUUUCAACAAAGAUGCCAGGAAACAGUUUCAGUGUUACUGCAGAUAUUCUUCUAGCCUUUGUGACUUUGACUUGUAUUAAAGGUCAAAGCACCAAUCCACCAGCGCUAUCAACGAAUAGAGGACAGCAUUCCAUUCUGGACAACACUGUGUCACCUGCAUUUGGGGCAACUGUGAUAAUAAUUAUAACUGUCAUUGUAUCAGGCAGUGCCUACCUGUGUUUUCUGAAAUAUAUUUGUUCUGGAUGCUGCAAAUCCACACAGGUUGUGCCCGUGACACGAAUGGACCCAAACAAAUCAGAACAAGUAUAGCUUGUUUGUGUUCUACAGAUUCCUAAUGAAGCUGCAACAAUUAUUUGAUGUUUUGUUUGUUUCUUUAUAAGCAUUUAUUGUCUUGUUCUUCAGUUCUGGAGCAGACUUAUCUGUGAAGUUUUGAGUGGAACUGGCAACCUGAAAUCAGGGCUGGAUUAAAGGACGAGGGGGCCCUAAGCAAACCCAUAUUUCGGGAGCCCUAUGCACAAUAUCUUGUGAAACAGUGUUGUAAUUAACAGCCUGUAGGUAAAAUGUGUCUGCAGGGAAAGCUUUCAGUUUUAUAUCAGAUGCAUAUUCACCAUUUAGACCUUGAAAAACAAAUACAAUGUGUAACACAUACUGAUCUUGGGCAUCAGUCGACUCAUCAGUGACCACAGACAAGCAACCAAUUUACCUAUUCCAUAAUCUCCUGCUUGUGAUACUCGGCAACUUUAGAUAACUGUUAAUGUCUCAGCUAGGACUGAUAAAGGAAUCGCUCCACCAUUUGCUACACUUUCAAGAGGGCUAUUUUUGCAAAC